UAGCCUCUCCUAGGCUUUGUCU
rnacentral:miRNA from 7 species